rnacentral:lncRNA from 1 species
UCCUUGAGCCUUUUACUGUAUUUCUACUGUGCUCAAGCAGUUACUAGGGCCAAUAGGUGACACUGUAGUUAGAGUGCUGGGUCCAGAGUUUAAAUUUCGAGGUUUACUAUCUAUAUGACCCUGGGCAAGUCACUUAGCCCUGUUAGUCUCAAUUUCUUCACCUGUAAAAUAAAACAGAGAAGAAAUGGUGAACCACUGCAGUAUCCUUGCCAAGAGAACCCCAAAUAAGGUCAAAAGAGUGGGACAUGUUUGAACAACAAGCAGUUAUUAUAAAGAGCAGUACUGAGGUGUGGUGAUAAACAUUGAACAACCAGACUCUCCAGGGAAGGGAAUACAUAUGUUCACACAAUUUUCAGUUUAAUCUAAAUUAUUCACAUCUUUAAGUCUAGAUGAUCAACAGACAGAGAGGCAAAUGAAUAAACAAAUCUCCCAGCAUAGGAAGAUUUUCUAGGUAAAAUAAGGGUUUACCAGGGAAAAUGUAAUGAUGGGCUCUCACAAUCAGAGCGGACUCAGCACACCCUUGAGUAUGGGUUUUGUCUUUUUAUGGCCCUAGGAGAACAGAGGUCCAUUGAAGGCCUUGGCUUGCUUAGAUGGACUUGGACUUGAGGCUGGUCCUGAAUUGAUUCCCUCACCAGGAUUCUGUGCUCCUUAAGGAAGACUGACCUGGAGAUAAUGCACAGAUUUGUGUCUGAGAAACCUCAACUGUAUGUCACAGAGAGAUGGAUGUGAGGAAGCUCAGAGCAUCUUCAGAGUUGGUGGUUUCCAAUAAGACAGCACAUCCUCCAAAGGAUCACACAUGUCUACAGAGAGUCACUUCCACAUCUUUCAACUGGAAGGAAUCCACCACCACCACGAUGAUGCCUCUCUUUCUCCUGGAGCCAGUCACAGAUGUGCUUCAUUCUCUCCAGUAGAUUGGAAUUCAGAAAAGCACCCAAAUCCUUUCACCCCUUCCAGAUGGAAAAAAAACCACUUGUUUUAAACUAUAGUUGAUGCACGCCUCUAGCAAGAAGGCAAACAUAACUCCGACCCCGGGGACAUGGAGCAGCUCCCCCCAGGUCUGCACAUCCUCGGCAACUUUUGCAAAGAAUUGCCUGGAGGCGUUGAGAAGCUGUGAUUUACCCAGGAUCAUUCAGCAGUCACUGGUAGGAUUCGAACCACAGGUCUUCCUGGCUCCAGGACCAACUCAUUAUCCCCUAUGCCACAUUGCUUCCCAUUUCAUCGUUCACUGGUUUUUUUUUCCUCAGAAUCACAGACAGUUGUGCAAUCUUGGGGUAUGGAGAGACCUCAGAAGGCAUUCAGCAUCAGAUUCUGACAGACCCUCUGUAUACCAUCCCCAGCUGGAGGGCAUCAAAUCUCAACUUAAAGAUCUCCAGUGAGAGGGAACCCAGUAGCUCUCUGGUGAACUCAAUGCAUUUGGGUAUGGCUCUAGCUUACUACAGCUCUCAAGUAAGCAAUUUCUCCCCAUUGAUCCUAUUUGUAAAGCAGAAUAAACAUAACUACCGUCUCCA